rnacentral:rRNA from 1 species
UACAGAGGGGGCAAGCGUUGUUCGGAAUUACUGGGCGUAAAGGGCGCGUAGGCGGCCCGCUAAGUCGAACGUGAAAUCCCCGAGCUCAACUCGGGAACUGCGUCCGAUACUGGCGGGCUUGAAUCCGGGAGAGGGAUGUGACGUACUCGUGAGUGAUGAGCGGUGAAAUGCGCAGAUAUCAGGAAGAACACCCAUGGCGAAGCGGCUCUCUGGGACGGUACUGACGCUGAGACGCGAAAGCGUGGGGAGCGAACAGGAUUAGAACCGUACCUC